CCGUGACUCACACACGGGAGUUAGUCACAGGGCGGGCCCGCCGGGCACCGCCCCGCCCCGCCCCCGCCGCCCCCGCUGCCCUAUGAGAAGCGGGUGUUCGGUGGAUUGACGCGGCAACCGGCCAAUGGGAAGCGAGGCGCGCCCCCCUCUCCCUCCAGCGCCGCUCGGCCCAAUGAGUCUUCUGAGGACACUGCGCGAAGUGCCGGGGAGGGCCGCGGGGACCCCCCGCGGGGCGGGCGCUGCGGCUUGGCCUGCCGCCUCCUCCAAUCAGCAUCGCGGGGCGGCUUGAUGGACGGCGCGGCGCGGACCAAUCGGGAGGGCUCGCCGGGAGAGCUGGUUUUGAGAGAACAAAGCGGGUUCCGGCGUUCCGUCAAAAUUUGAAGGGAAAAAAAAAAUGCUGAAAGUGAUCGCCUUGACAGGCUGCGCUGCGAAAGAGCAGUUCCUGCUGCGCUGCUGGGAGGAGCCGGCAGAUAAGAGCGGUAUCAGCCCUGUGAAAGAAAAGCGCAAUGCUGCCUUCGCGAAUGAUUAAUAUUGGAGGAAUUUAUUUUGGGCAGAGCGAGGAAGUAGUGCCUGCUAGGAGUUCCCAACAAGCGCUGGAGCCCUACCAGGCGUUUAGUCUUGGUGAAGGAAACGAGAUACUCAAAUUGCCUUUCCCCCCUUCACACAAACUCUUAAACUCUUUUAUUAUUUUUUUUCCAGUAAAACAGCUGAUCACAUCAUUGCGUUACCUCACAUAAGUCUAUCAGAAUCAGGGACUAUUCCGGCGUUUUCCCUGGCUGCAAAAAUACACGCUUUGUUUUCUUUGCUUUCAAAACUUACUCCCUGGACAGACUGCUAUAUUUACAGUCUUUUUUUCUUAUUUUAGCCUCCACGCUAAAUGAAGAGCUGAAAAAACUAACCUGCAAUAAUUUGUUCUUGUUUUCCACUUUAGAAAUAGUAGGUUAUUCCUGGUCGCUUUUAUUGAGGGCUGGGAAGCCGGAGGGAAGAUUUCACAGUCCCCCAGUUGAAGCAGCAAUGUUGAAUCCCACAAAAAGAAAAAAAACACAAUGCAGGGUUGUCUCAGCAUUUAUGGCAUAAUCCUGCUAGCUGUCUUCAAGAAAUCUGGGAUGGAUGACACUCAAGAUUCUCUAGUAUGAAACAGAAAGAAAACUAAGACCAGUAAGGUGGGGUCUUACACUUUCCUGAGCAUUUAACAAUGGCACACAGCUCAUCAAAGUUUAAGAAAUUAGCUAUUACUAUGGGUAUAUUUUAAUUUUACCCACAGAUGCUAUGAAACACGUCUGGCUUUGUGCAUCUCAGUUUUCUCCUGACACCAUCUUCAUCAUGCUGGUGAUCCAAGGAUUUCUUACAUGCAGAAUUGCUUGGGCUGUAGCACUGCUCAGCUCAUCAGCUGUAUGAAGCCAUAAAUCUUUGAAUUCUGUUUGAGAUAAAAUUAGGACAGGAAUGUUGUUUAAUAACUACCCCAACUUCUCCAUUUCAUCAGUCUGCUUUGAAAGCAUCUGAAGGCUUCUCCAGCCCCCACCCUGGCUUGCACCUUAAUAAAACUUUUUGUUGACUAAUAUUUCCAUUCCUGUUGGAAUCUGCUGAGCUGUGCUAUUGUAAAUGCUCUUGCUUUAAUUGUGUUUGGAUUAGAAUAAACCAAAUCCACCAUACUGUUAUUUUAUUGUGUUUUGUUUUACACAUGCUGCUUUUUGCUCUUCUCUCCAUUUGCAUUAAAAUUUACAAAUACAAACAUGUAUUUUGCUUUACGCAGACCUGUUUACAUUGAAACCCAAGGCACUUCGACUAAAGGAUUCACUGCAGCUAAUCAUUGGGAAUACUGAAGGAUUUUCACAGGUGAUCCCCAUAUUUGUAUUGGUAGCAAAAGCAGAGAAUUUAAGACCUGUCUUAUAAAUUUUUCCUGCAAUAAUAGUAAGAGGUUAGAAUAUUUGCAAGGUUCUGCAGUCUUCAGCAGUGCUUACAUCCUGAUUCAUGCUUAGUGACUUCUGAACACAGCACAAAACAUGGCUUUGCAUCAGAUUCUGUGCAAUUCAGCAAAUAAAAUGAUGAACAGAGUAUUUAGCAUUCACUGGUACGCACACACACACAUAUAUAUAUGCACACACGUACCCUCUUCA